GGAGAGAUGGCAGAGCGGUCUAUCGCAUCAGUCUUGAAAACUGAAGGUCGGAAACGAUCCGUGGGUUCGAAUCCCACUCUCUCCUCA
rnacentral:tRNA from 2 species